rnacentral:rRNA from 1 species
GAGUUUGAUCCUGGCUCAGGACGAACGCUGGCGGCGCGGAUUAGGCAUGCAAGUCGCGCGAUCGGAGAGCUUCGGCUCUUACGGAGCGGCGAACGGGUGAGUAACACGUGAACAAUCUGUCCCUACAUUCCGGAUAGCUGCUCGAAAGGGCUGGUAAUACGGGCGAGGAUCUUUAUUGGGAAUUCGGUGAAGAGAAAGGGUGCAAGCAUUUAUGUUUGUGUCGUGCAUGGAGGAGUUCGCGGCCUAUCAGUUAGUUGGUGGGGUAAUGGCCUACCAAGACGACGACGGGUAGCUGGUCUGAGAGGAUGGUCAGCCACAUUGGAACUGAGACACUGUCCAGACUCCUACGGGAGGCUGCAGUCGAGAAUCUUGGGCAAUGCACGAAAGUGUGACCCAGCGACGCCGCGUGGAGGAUGAAGGCCCUUGGGUCGUAAACUCCUUUUAUGGAAGAAGAACGCCUCGUAAGAGGUUUGACGGUACUCCAUGAAUAAGCCACGGCUAACUACGUGCCAGCAGCCGCGGUAAUACGUAGGUGGCAAGCGUUGUCCGGAUUUACUGGGCGUAAAGCGUAUGCAGGCGGAAGAGUAAGUAGGAAGUGAAAGGUCGGAGCUCAACUCCAACACUGCUCCCUAUACUGCUUUUCUUGAGUGCCGGAGAGGAAGAGGGAACUCCACGUGUAGCGGUGAAAUGCGUUGAGAUGUGGAGGAACACCAAUGGCGAAAGCACUCUUCUGGACGGAAACUGACGCUGAGAUACGAAAGCCAAGGGAGCGAACAGGAUUAGAUACCCUGGUAGUCUUGGCCAUAAACGAUGUUCACUAGGUGUUGGGGCUUAGCCUCGGUGCCGCAGCUAACGCAUUAAGUGAACCGCCUGGGGACUACGGCCGCAAGGUUGAAACUCAAAGGAAUUGGCGGGGGCCCGCACAAGCGGUGGAGCAUAUGGCUUAAUUCGAUGCAACGCGAAGAACCUUACCAGGGCUUGACAUGCAUCUGCACGGUGGUGAAAGCCACUCGCUUUCGAAGGUGAUGCACAGGUGGUGCAUGGCUGUCGUCAGCUCGUGUUGUGAAAUGUUGGGUUAAGUCCCGCAACGAGCGCAACCC